UACGUAGGGGGCAAGCGUUGUCCGGAUUUACUGGGCGUAAAGAGCGUGUAGGCGGCCAAACAGGUCCGUUGUGAAAACUGGAGGCUUAACCUCCAGACGUCGACGGAAACCGUAUGGCUAGAGUCCGGAAGAGGAGAGUGGAAUUCCUGGUGUAGCGGUGAAAUGCGCAGAUAUCAGGAAGAACACCAAUGGCGAGGGCAGCUCUCUGGGACGGUACUGACGCUGAGACGCGAAAGCGUGGGGAGCGAACAGG
rnacentral:rRNA from 1 species